UCCUGAUGAGUCUGUUGGUAAAGAAUCCACCUGCAAUGUGGGAGACCUAGGUUCAAUCCCUGGAUUGGGAA
rnacentral:tRNA from 1 species